UGCUGGAAUGAAUGGUUGGACGAGAUAUAAACUGUUUCAAUUUAAUUUAUAAUAGAAUUUUAUUAUUUAGUUAAAAAGCUAAAAUUUAUUUAAAAGACGAGAAGACCCUAUAAAUCUUUAUAAUUAAUUUAUUUUUAUUUUAAAGAUGUUUUUUAUAUUAAUAUUUAUAAUUAUUUUAUUGGGGUGAUAUUAAAAUUUCAUAAACUUUUAAUUAUUAUUAACAUUAAUUAAUGAAUUGUUGAUCCAUUAUUAGUGAUUAUAAGAUUAAGUUACUUUAGGGAUAACAGCGUAAUUUUUUUGGAGAGUUCAUAUCGAUAAAAAAGAUUGCGACCUCGAUGUUGGAUUAAGAUAUAAUUUUGGGUGCAGCCAUUCAAAUUUUAAGUCUGUUCGACUUUUAAAUUCUUACAUGAUCUGAGUUCAAACCGGCGUAAGCCAGGUUGGUUUCUAUCUUUAAAAAUUUAAAAUAUUUUAGUACGAAAGGAUUAAAUAUUUAAAUAAAUUAUUUUUUGUAAUGAAUAUUAUUAAUUUAACUAUUUU
rnacentral:rRNA from 1 species